rnacentral:lncRNA from 1 species
GUGAAUUUUGUGGUAUGGACAUUCUAACUCAGAAAAACAAACUUUUAAAUGUAAAUUGUUAGAAAUUAAGAUUUUCAGUGUAAAAGAUAUACAAUUGUAAAAUCAAAGAAAUUAGUGAAAACACUGUAAAGUUAAAACUGAACUGCAAAUACUAGUAUGAACUCAUAAUCCAAAACCAAACCAAACCAGCUUAGCUUUGUUCAUUAAAAUGGCCUAAAAACAAUGCCACAUUAGCAACAAUGAACAGUCCCUAACAUCCCCACUGUGGUCUUUAAUAUGAUUGUGGUCUUUUAUACCUCCAUUAAAAGAAACCAGCAAGUGUCAGAGAAAUGACUGAAUCUAGGUCUGACACAGGGAAGAUACAAAGUGAAGCUGACACAUCUGGGCCAGAAAGCAAGUACUGUGUAUACAGUAUGAUCUUCUACAUAUGAGUAUGUGAACAUACAGAGAUCCAGAGGAUAAGAGCUAAGGUGUUAAAAUGGUGCUUUCUGGGUGGUAAGUAUGUAUUGCUUUAUGUUUUUAUUUUUGUUUGUUUCUAUUUCCUAAUAGUUUGGUAACACAAUAGGUAUUGCUGUCAAUAAUGUUUAUUAAAAUAUGCUUGAAAAUGAUUGCUUUACACAAUAGGGAAUAGAGCAGAAUUUGGGGCGGGAAGGUACUGGAAUCUGAUACAAAUGACAGAUACAACUAGAUUAUAGCUCUGACUUAGGGACUGCUCAGCUUUAUUUCCUAUAAAUGGGGUCCCAGCUUUAAAUUAAAGGUCUGAAAUGUAAUGGCAGGUGGGCCAUCAAGGCAUGUUAGCAUGUUUUAUGACCAUAACAAAGCAGAAUAUCUACACGUUUCCUUUUCUGUUUGGUGUCCCC